ACUCAAAGGAAUAGACGGGGGCCCGCACAAGCAGCGGAGCAUGUGGUUUAAUUCGACGCAACGCGAAGAACCUUACCUGGGCUUGACAUGUGCCUGACUCCUCUGGAAACAGGGGUUCCCUUCGGGGCAGGUUCACAGGUGGUGCAUGGCUGUCGUCAGCUCGUGUCGUGAGAUGUUGGGUUAAGUCCCGCAACGAGCGCAACCCCCGUCGCAUGUUGCCAGCAUUUAGUUGGGGACUCAUGCGAGACUGCCGGUGACAAACCGGAGGAAGGCGGGGAUGACGUCAAGUCAUCAUGCCCCUUAUGUCCAGGGCUACACACGUGCUACAUUGGCGUAUACAGAGGGCGGCGAUACCGCGAGGUGGAGCGAAUCCCUUAAAGUACGUCUCGGUUCGGAUUGUAGGCUGAAACUCGCCUACAUGAAGGUGGAGUUGCUAGUAAUCGCGGAUCAGCACUGCCGCGGUGAAUACGUUCCCGGGCCUUGUACACACCGCCCGU
rnacentral:rRNA from 1 species